rnacentral:sRNA from 1 species
GCCAGGCAUUGUGGUACAUGCCUGUAAUCCCAGAAACUCGGGAGGCUGAGGCAGGAGGAUUGCAAGUUCAAACCCAGCCUCAGCAACUCAGCAAGACUCUGUCUCUA